CAAACGUUCCGAUGCUGCAUGUUUGAUUAUUAUUCCCUCAACUCACUCGACGGUAUUAAUCCUCCUGUUGUCUCUGCUGGUAAAGCCCAAUGAUAAUAUUACUUUGUGAAACUGAAGUGUUGCUCAACAACAUUAUGUCUAGACAAAUGAAGACUUCAAGCACAACUGUUUGACUACAGCUUCAUUCUCUUUGUCCUGGCUUAUGCUGAGGCCUUGCCACUGCCUGUGGGUUCCUGAGUAAUCAGCAGCUGUUGUUUACAGUAAACAUGAAAAGAAAGAUCACAUAAUCAUAGAAGACUAAUUUUUAAGGGGAC
ensembl:lncRNA